UACAGAGACCUCAAGCGUUAUCCGGAAUCAUUGGGCGUAAAGCGUACCGAUAGGUGGUUGUGAUCGUUUUGGGUAAAAGCCAGAAGCUCAACUUCUGAGUUUGCUUAAAAUACUUCACGACUAGAGGGGCAAAUAGGUAACUGGAACGAACGGUGUAGUAGUGAAAUGCGUUGAUAUCAAGUAGAACACCAGUGGCGAAGGCGAAUCUCUGGACAGUUACUGACACUGAGGCACGAAGGCCAGGGGAGCAAACGGG
rnacentral:rRNA from 1 species